UACGUAGGGACCAAGCGUUGUUCGGAUUUACUGGGCGUAAAGGGCGCGUAGGCGGCAAAUCAAGUCAGCUGUGAAAUCUCCGAGCUUAACUCGGAACGGUCAGCUGAUACUGUUUUGCUAGAGUACAGAAGGGGCAAUCGGAAUUCUUGGUGUAGCGGUGAAAUGCGUAGAUAUCAAGAGGAACACCUGAGGUGAAGACGGGUUGCUGGGCUGAUACUGACGCUGAGGCGCGAAAGCUAGGGUAGCAAACGGG
rnacentral:rRNA from 1 species